UAAGGGCGCACGGUGGAUGCCUUGGCACUAGAAGCCGAUGAAGGACGUUACUAACGACGAUAUGCUUUGGGGAGCUGUAAGUAAGCUUUGAUCCAGAGAUUUCCGAAUGGGGAAACCCAGCAUGAGUUAUGUCAUGUUAUCGAUAUGUGAAUACAUAGCAUAUCAGAAGGCACACCCGGAGAACUGAAACAUCUUAGUACCCGGAGGAAGAGAAAGAAAAUUCGAUUCCCUUAGUAGCGGCGAGCGAAACGGGAAGAGCCCAAACCAACAAGCUUGCUUGUUGGGGUUGUAGGACACUCUAUACGGAGUUACAAAGGACGACAUUAGACGAAUCAUCUGGAAAGAUGAAUCAAAGAAGGUAAUAAUCCUGUAGUCGAAAAUGUUGUCUCUCUUGAGUGGAUCCUGAGUACGACGGAGCACGUGAAAUUCCGUCGGAAUCUGGGAGGACCAUCUCCUAAGGCUAAAUACUCUCUAGUGACCGAUAGUGAACCAGUACCGUGAGGGAAAGGUGAAAAGCACCCCGGAAGGGGAGUGAAAUAGAACCUGAAACCGUGUGCUUACAAGUAGUCAGAGCCCGUUAAUGGGUGAUGGCGUGCCUUUUGUAGAAUGAACCGGCGAGUUACGAUUUGAUGCAAGGUUAAGCAGUAAAUGUGGAGCCGUAGCGAAAGCGAGUCUGAAUAGGGCGUUUAGUAUUUGGUCGUAGACCCGAAACCAGGUGAUCUACCCUUGGUCAGGUUGAAGUUCAGGUAACACUGAAUGGAGGACCGAACCGACUUACGUUGAAAAGUGAGCGGAUGAACUGAGGGUAGCGGAGAAAUUCCAAUCGAACCUGGAGAUAGCUGGUUCUCUCCGAAAUAGCUUUAGGGCUAGCCUCAAGUGAUGAUUAUUGGAGGUAGAGCACUGUUUGGACGAGGGGCCCCUCUCGGGUUACCGAAUUCAGACAAACUCCGAAUGCCAAUUAAUUUAACUUGGGAGUCAGAACAUGGGUGAUAAGGUCCGUGUUCGAAAGGGAAACAGCCCAGACCACCAGCUAAGGUCCCAAAAUAUAUGUUAAGUGGAAAAGGAUGUGGCGUUGCCCAGACAACUAGGAUGUUGGCUUAGAAGCAGCCAUCAUUUAAAGAGUGCGUAAUAGCUCACUAGUCGAGUGACACUGCGCCGAAAAUGUACCGGGGCUAAACAUAUUACCGAAGCUGUGGAUUGUCCUUUGGACAAUGGUAGGAGAGCGUUCUAAGGGCGUUGAAGCAUGAUCGUAAGGACAUGUGGAGCGCUUAGAAGUGAGAAUGCCGGUGUGAGUAGCGAAAGACGGGUGAGAAUCCCGUCCACCGAUUGACUAAGGUUUCCAGAGGAAGGCUCGUCCGCUCUGGGUUAGUCGGGUCCUAAGCUGAGGCCGACAGGCGUAGGCGAUGGAUAACAGGUUGAUAUUCCUGUACCACCUAUAAUCGUUUUAAUCGAUGGGGGGACGCAGUAGGAUAGGCGAAGCGUGCGAUUGGAUUGCACGUCUAAGCAGUAAGGCUGAGUAUUAGGCAAAUCCGGUACUCGUUAAGGCUGAGCUGUGAUGGGGAGAAGACAUUGUGUCUUCGAGUCGUUGAUUUCACACUGCCGAGAAAAGCCUCUAGAUAGAAAAUAGGUGCCCGUACCGCAAACCGACACAGGUAGUCAAGAUGAGAAUUCUAAGGUGAGCGAGCGAACUCUCGUUAAGGAACUCGGCAAAAUGACCCCGUAACUUCGGGAGAAGGGGUGCUCUUUAGGGUUAACGCCCAGAAGAGCCGCAGUGAAUAGGCCCAAGCGACUGUUUAUCAAAAACACAGGUCUCUGCUAAACCGUAAGGUGAUGUAUAGGGGCUGACGCCUGCCCGGUGCUGGAAGGUUAAGAGGAGUGGUUAGCUUCUGCGAAGCUACGAAUCGAAGCCCCAGUAAACGGCGGCCGUAACUAUAACGGUCCUAAGGUAGCGAAAUUCCUUGUCGGGUAAGUUCCGACCCGCACGAAAGGCGUAACGAUUUGGGCACUGUCUCAACGAG
rnacentral:rRNA from 1 species